UGGGUAACCUGCCCUUGAAGUAGGGGAUAACACUUGGAAACAGGUGCUAAUACCGUAUAACAACCAAAACCACCUGGUUUUGGUUUAAAAGACGGCUUCGGCUGUCACUUUAGGAUGGACCCGCGGCGUAUUAGCUUGUUGGUAAGGUAACGGCUUACCAAGGCGAUGAUACGUAGCCGACCUGAGAGGGUAAUCGGCCACAUUGGGACUGAGACACGGCCCAAACUCCUACGGGAGGCAGCAGUAGGGAAUCUUCCACAAUGGACGAAAGUCUGAUGGAGCAACGCCGCGUGAGUGAUGAAGGGUUUCGGCUCGUAAAACUCUGUUGUUGGAGAAGAACAGGUGUCAGAGUAACUGUUGACAUCUUGACGGUAUCCAACCAGAAAGCCACGGCUAACUACGUGCCAGCAGCCGCGGUAAUACGUAGGUGGCAAGCGUUGUCCGGAUUUAUUGGGCGUAAAGCGAGCGCAGGCGGUUUUUUAGGUCUGAUGUGAAAGCCUUCGGCUUAACCGGAGAAGUGCAUCGGAAACCGGGAGACUUGAGUGCAGAAGAGGACAGUGGAACUCCAUGUGUAGCGGUGAAAUGCGUAGAUAUAUGGAAGAACACCAGUGGCGAAGGCGGCUGUCUGGGUCUGUAACUG
rnacentral:rRNA from 1 species